GUCCACGCCGUAAACGAUGGAUACUAGGUGUUAGUAGUUUCGAUGCUACUAGUGCCGGAGUAAACACAAUAAGUAUCCCGCCUGGGGGAGUACGGUCGCAAGACUGAAACUCAAAGGAAUUGACGGGGGCCCGCACAAGCGGUGGAGCAUGUGGUUUAAUUCGACGCAACGCGAAGAACCUUACCAAGACUUGACAUCCUCCUGACAAGAUAUGUAAUGUAUCUCUUUUCUUCGGAGACAGGAGAGACAGGUGGUGCAUGGUUGUCGU
rnacentral:rRNA from 1 species